GCCACAUGAUGCUCAAACACUGGUUCCUGUACAAUCACCAAAGUUAAGCAACAUUGAUUCUGGUCAGUGCUGAGAUGGGUGACAGCUUGGGAAAACCAGGUGCCGUAA